CGCUGGCAACCUGAUGAAAUGACGCACCGCGAGGAGAUGCUUGCAAUCCUGCUCGUUUUGGCACAUUUUUGCUUUUAUACCAGGGAGCAGAAAGAGAACCGAGGAAGGCCCUGGCUGCUCUGCAUCAUACGCAGACGCGAGGAACAUUGCAGCAGAAUGGAUUCAAUCGGUGCUCCACUCCUCUAGCGGGUUUACAUCAUGGAGGGUUUGGGGAACGUGUGAAUUUGCUUGGUGAGAAGGGAUCUCAUGGCAGUUAUUCCACAGCAAAUAUUGGAUAAGGAAAGACUUCAUACAAAUCAUACAUACGCUGUCAGACGGCCCAAAUGAUCUUGAGCCACUCAAGCCCAACCGUAUCCUCCCUUUGUGAGGAAAACCAUCAUUGCCACAAGGAUUGUUCGGACCACGUGACGUGUAUGGAAAGCGAAGACGGAAGCAAGUUCAGUACAUCUCUGAUCGGUUCUGGAAACGGUGGCUACGGGACUACCUACCUUUGCU